GGAGCCAUCACCUUGCGUCAGUUGGUUGGUUCCUCUCACAUCAGACCGUCCCAGCCAGUUCUCGCCUGAGUGUCUACAGAGGCGCUUUACCAUAACCACAGGACCGGAAUGAACCUUCCAAAUGCUGCCGGCCUAACUUGAUGGACCGUCGAUGUAGGGAGCUGCGGCGACACUUCCCAACAGAGGUGACCGUUUCUAGGCCGUGCCCUGAAGUUCCACCAAAACAGUCCACGGGGCGGCGUCCAACAGGGUCCCGAGUGCCUCCCGAGUGCCACCCACCUGCCACGUUGACCUUGUCAGCAUUGCCUGUGCUGGAAGCUGUGGCCCCGGUGGCCGUCCCAUUGCAUUCCCCCCGCUGCGGAGAGCGCGGGAAUGGCUCGAAUAUCACAUUAUCAUUCCGAAGACCCGAAAUGAACCACGGGGGAGCAUGGGAGAUUCCCCCUGCCAAGCCAUUGUUCAUCCAAAAGACCCUCAUUGUUUGUUUGUAUCCUGUACUGCUUAAAGACUUCCAAAAGAACAGUGUACAAAGCAAACACCGUGUCCAGUGACAACUACAGCUCACUUCGUCUCCUCGGGACUAGAGUCCGGCUGGGGGCUGCCAAUCUAGGAAAGAUCACACUGCCAGAAAAAAGACAGGAUAGGGGGCACUGCCGUGCAGCGACUAAGCCUAACGCUGGGAGCAGAGCAGCAGGAGGACAUCCCCAGGGGCUCCCCACAGGCAGCUGUGACAGAUACAUAAGGAGAAGAGCACGAAGCACCUCCUGCUCACAGCUCACCUAACAAAAGCACGACCAGCGCCACACAAACCAGGCACGUGCAGGUAUGUGGGGAGCCUGUCAAACCCUGUGUUGCGAGAUGCACACCUUCCCACACUUCCUCCUCAUCAGACAUCUGCAGGCUGUCAUGCCAGGUACCAGCUGUCACACAGUGGGGACAGCCACCUCUAUCAGGGACCACUGUGUACUACACAGUGGUCCCCUCUUAACCUCAGUUUCUUUUUCUGUGGUCCGAAAAAUUAAAUGGAAAAUUCCAGAAACAACUCGUAAGUUUUAAAUUGUGUGCUGUUCUGAGUAGCGUGAUGAAACCCUGGGCCGUGCCGCCCGAGACUUGAACCACCCCUUCGUCGAGCAUAUUCAUGCUGUUUAUGCUACCUGCUCAUUAGUCACUCAGUAGCAGUCUCAGUUAUCAAAUCUACUGUUGCCUAUUACGCAAGCACACCCUCAAACUUGAUAACACGUGGCAUAGGACCAUGUCAUUAAAGAAGUGAAAACAGCCAAAAUCAUUCUUUUCUAAUGAUCUAAUUACAAACAAAUGGGUUCCACUCUGACAGACUGAAAUGUUUUUAAUACGUUUUUAACAUGGACAGCUGCGUGCCCAGUUGUACCAACCCACACACAGCAAAUACAAGCAGCAGACGUCACACUGUGAGGAAGUUUUUAUUUACAGCCUGUUCCUGCCAAACUUACUGAGCUGACAAAAAAAAGAAAAAGGAACCUUACCAUCAGCUUAUUGCAUGGCCGUAAAAUCAAUUAUGCUCAGCCUCACAACGAAGAUCCUCACACCAAAACAGCAUCAUGCAGGCACAGUAAACAGGCUGUAAUUCUAAAUAUAUUUUUUAACAUUGUCAAAUCUGUUGCAGUCUCCACACAACUAGACUGCCUCACAAACCCUGUGCUUCCACAUAAUAAAAUGGAUUUCAUUUCGUUGCCAGUUAGAUCUUGUCCGCAGAGAUCACGUCCACUCAAGAGAAAGGAAGAAUAAAGACCCUGCUAAGCACACAUGACCGAUGCAAAUUAACCUUAACAUCCCUGAACACUAAAGCCUGGUUCCUCCUUACUGCAAAGGCGGGCAUGCCACAGCACACAUGCUGAAAUGUCUGCAUUCCUGAAUGUUCAUACUUGUGCCAACGUGCUAGACAACUGCACCGGGGUAGCACUACAGAGCAAAGUUGCUUGUUUAUGAAGUGUGGUAUGGGUGCAAUAAUAAAAAGAAUCAUUUUACUAAAACUAUUGGUGCAUUAUGUACUUAAAAAGUAAACAGGGACAUAAACAGGUAAAUGGUGCUACAGUUACAAAUUCAUUUCAUUUUAAUUUGCAGCCCUCUGGGAGUCUUUAUAAUUUCAUGGCAAGGAAUCAAAUAAAUGCCUGUAUUUCUGGACAUCCUCAGCCAACCUUUCUUAGAAUCCGCAAGCCAUAUUUGUUAUCAGUCUGAU